CGUGGGUAACCUGCCUCAUACAGGGGGAUAGCAGCUGGAAACGGCUGAUAAAACCGCAUAAGCGCACAGCAUCGCAUGAUGCAGUGUGAAAAACUCCGGUGGUAUGAGAUGGACCCGCGUCUGAUUAGCUAGUUGGUGAGGUAACGGCCCACCAAGGCGACGAUCAGUAGCCGGCCUGAGAGGGUGACCGGCCACAUUGGGACUGAGACACGGCCCAG
rnacentral:rRNA from 1 species